rnacentral:rRNA from 1 species
AAUCAACGCUGGCGGCGUGCCUCAGACAUGCAAGUCGAACGAUUAAAGCUCUCUUCGGAGAGUGCAUAGAGUGGCGCACGGGUGAGUAACACGUAAGUAAUCUACCUUCGAGUGGGGAAUAACGUCCGGAAACGGACGCUAAUACCGCAUAAUGCAGCGGCAUCGUAAGAUGACAGUUGUUAAAGAUUUAUCGCUUGAAGAGGAGCUUGCGGCAGAUUAGCUAGUUGGUAAGGUAAUGGCUUACCAAGGCUACGAUCUGUAACCGGUCUUAGAGGACGGUCGGUCACACUGACACUGAAUAACGGGUCAGACUCCUACGGAGGCAGCAGUCGGGAAUUUUGGGCAAUGGGCGAAAGCCUGACCCAGCAACGCCGCGUGAAGGAUGAAGUAUUUCGGUAUGUAAACUUCGAAAGAAUGGGAAGAAUAAAUGACGGUACCAUUUAUAAGCUCCGGCUAACUACGUGCCAGCAGCCGCGGUAAU